rnacentral:rRNA from 1 species
GGAGGAAUGUAUAUCGACUCUGUCGAAUAAAGUUCUAGUUAAGUUAUGAUAAUGACAUUUCUUAACUAUGUGUCUUGACCAAAUCACGUGCCAGCAGUCGCGGUAAUACGUGGAAGACUAGUGUUAUUCAUCUUUAACAGGUUUAAAGGGUACCUAGACGGUAAAUCAAGCCCCAAAAGGGUACUAAUCUACUAGAGUUUAAUAAGAGAGGGGGAGUACUGAUGAGUGGAAAGAUGAAAUUUGUUGAUACCAUUAGGAACAGACAAAGGCGAAAGCGACCUUUUACAUAAAAACUGACGUUGAGGGACGAAGGCUUUAGUCGUGAACAGGAUUAGAUACCCAAGUAAUUAAAGCAGACAAUGAUGAAUGUCAUAGAUUAGUAACGAGAAUUUAUAAUUGACCCAGCGCUAAGUUAAUUUAUUCAUGUAUUCAUACAUACAUGAAUCCAUAGAUUAAUCCAUAGUAAUAAUUUACGAUUAAUCUAUAGUAAUAGUUUACUAUUAAUCUAUAAAUGAAAGUGUAAGCAUUCCACCUCAAGAGUAAUGUGGCAACGCAGAAACUGAAAUCAUUAGACCGUUUCUGAAACCAGUAGUGAAGUAUGUUGUUUAAUUAGAUAAUCCGCAAAAGACCUCACCACAAUUUGUAUAUUAUUAUUUUUUAAUAUUACAAGCGUUGCACGGCUGUCUUCAGUUAAUGUCGUGAGAUUAGGUUAGUUCCAUUAAAUUAACGUAAACCCUUUCUUUAUUUAUAUUAUAAAGUAGAUCACCGCUAUAUUGGAUAUGAUAAAAGGGACUAAGACAAGUCAUCAUGGCCUGAAUAUUGUGGGCGAUAGACGUGCCACAUAAUCGGAGACAAAGGGAUGCGAAAUUGUGAAAUAAAGCUA